CAGCAGCCGCGGUAAUACGUAGGUGGCAAGCGUUGUCCGGAGUUAUUGGGCGUAAAGGGCUCGCAGGCGGUUUCUUAAGUCUGAUGUGAAAGCCCCCGGCUCAACCGGGGAGGGUCAUUGGAAACUGGGAAACUUGAGUGCAGAAGAGGAGAGUGGAAUUCCACGUGUAGCGGUGAAAUGCGUAGAGAUGUGGAGGAACACCAGUGGCGAAGGCGACUCUCUGGUCUGUAACUGACGCUGAGGAGCGAAAGCGUGGGGAGCGAACAGGAUUAGAUACCCGCGUAGUCCCUGUCUCUUAUAC
rnacentral:rRNA from 1 species